rnacentral:rRNA from 1 species
AACGAACGCUGGCGGCAUGCCUAACACAUGCAAGUCGAACGAAACCUUCGGGUCUAUUGGCGCACGGGUGCGUAACGCGUGGGAACCUGCCCUUAGGUUAGGAAUAACUCCCCGAAAGGGGUGCUAAUACCAGAUAAUGUCUUAGGACCAAAGAUUUAUCGCCUUUGGAUGGGCCCGCGUUGGAUUCGCUAGUUGGUAGUGUAAAAGCCUACCAAGGCGACGAUCCAUAGCUGGUCUGAGAGGAUGAUCAGCCACACUGGGACUGAGACACGGCCCAGACUCCUACGGGAGGCAGCAGUGGGGAAUAUUGGACACGGGGCGAAAGCCUGAUACAGCAAUGCCGCGUGAGUGAUGAAGGCCUUAGGGUUGUAAAGCUCUUUUACCCGGGAUGAUAAUGACAGUACCGGGAGAAUAAGCUCCGGCUAACUCCGUG